rnacentral:rRNA from 1 species
AUGGUUCUGCUCGACCGCGAGAUUGAUUUCUCUCCCGACGAGGCCGUAUCCGGCGGAGAGUCAAUCCCCUACCCGUGGGGAUUCUGGGAAGGAAGUGGACUACCAAACCGCAAAGCCAUAAGUGAUCAGGUAAUCAAGUACCUGCGGACCUUCAAGGCCCGGGCAAUCGUCGGCAACCCGCCGGAACUCUCCUUCCUCCACAUACUUGUGCCGCCGCAAUCCCUCCCGCUCCCGCCGCCAUACAUGGGCCUGGACUCGGGCCGCAUCUCCAGCACGGACAAGAACCUGGUCGCCCUUUACGCCGGCGGGUACCGCCCUGGCUCUAGCUUGCGGGGAGGCUACCUCAUCUACGACGCCAGCAACGACUCCCUCUCCGUCAUCCCCCGUCUCCCCGACGACGACGACGACUUGCAUGGAGUCAUGGGGCACCAGUCGGCCGUCGUCAUGUGCGACGCCCAAGGGGAGGGCUACCUUCUUGCCGAGCUCGUCAUGCCAGGAUUCUCCCAAGCCGGGGUCUGGCUCUGGAAGUCGUCUGCCAAAGAGUGGGUCUUGCUGUCCGGGAGCCAUCCCCUUCCAUCCAGCAGAUUCUCCAUUGAUUUGUGCUUCUCUUACCGGGGCUCUCUCCUUUGCUGGGUGGAUCUUCUCAGAGGCAUGUUGCUCUGUGAUCUCAACCAAGACUGCAACAACAAGUUCAGCUUUAUCAACCUGCCACAAGACUGUCCAACCUAUGAUGUAAACCCCGAGUAUCCAGACAUCGUCCGCCCAGACGAGUUCCGGUCCAUGGCCUGUGUUUGUGCUGCACACAUAAAGCUCAUCGCCUUGGAUGAGUAUGGAUUGGAACUCAUCGUCUGGACGCUCUCGCCUGACCUCUCAGGCUGGACCAUGACCUGCAAGUACAAUGUCGAAAAAAUCUGGGCAAACGUGAGCUACCAGCCUGCACGUUUGAGACAGCUUGCUCCGUCGCUCCCUGUCCUCAGCAUCCACGAAGACGGCGUCGUCUACUUGGUCGUAAAUGACGAAACCAUUGUCGACCGUCGACUGGUGCACAAAGGCCAGUAUUUGCUUCGCGUCGACAUGGAGAACGACGAGGUCCGCGUCUCUCCACAGCCUACAAGGCGUAUUUGUUCCCAACUCUUUGCCAGCGAGUUCAGUGCGCACCGACACACAGCGUUUACAGCAUCUCACCCUGUCAUUUGA